ACUGCGGUGGUGUAAUGGUUAGCAUUUCUGCCUAGGAAGCAAGAAGACCCGGUUUCAAGUCCCGGCUGCAGCA